CCUAAACCACCACUUGUUAAGUAAGGCCAGAGCUUUCCCAAAAUAGUAGCAGUCUGGCAACCUCAUAACACAUGAUACUUCAGUAGAAUAUUUAACAAAAGAUGCCAGAUUUUUUUAAUGGUCCCUUCCCGGUAGCUAUGCAUCAGUCUUGUAUAUCUUCAAGAUAUCAUCAUCUUAUUCCGGUAGAUAUAUUAUACAAUCUAAAAAUAACAAUUAAAAAUGUAUUUAUGCACUCUGCGCAUCUUUCCGCAAGAAGGCUCUGCCACACCUUCAUUUUUUCACCCUGUUGCCUUUUCCUUGAGUCUUGGAGAGAAUAAAUUGAACCCCUGCCCAGAUGUAGCUGAAGAUCUUCACAGCUGCGGAGCAUCCCGACAUCUUCUCCUCCGCCUGCAAAAGUUAACCCAAAAUGAAUGUGAUUCUUCUACUUGGUUUCUUUAGUCUGCUGUUCUUCACAACUACCCAAGGACUCCUUUGUAAUCGAUGUCGAUAUUACUUUUCUAAGAACUGUCCUCAGGAAGAACUAUGCACAUCGGAUCGUGGGAAAUGUUUCACACGAACUGUCUAUAAAGGUCCUAAAGGUAAAGAACUAGUUUGGAAUACUUACGGAUGUGUCAAAUGGUCAGAUGAGUCAGAGUGUGACAAGUUGUUCAUGAGGUCUGGAUUAAUCAAAAUUACCACUUGCUGCAGCUCUGAAAGAUGCAAUGGAAAUCCUGCUCCUUUCCCUCCUGCUAACUGUACCAGCAGUGUGUGAGACGGCAAAGGAUGCCCAAAUCUCUCCCUCGACUCAUCCACUUCACAGUCCAGCCAGAGAAUCGGAACCCCCUUUACCCUCUUUGAGCAGGCUCCUAAUUUAAGAGUCUGUACUUGAUAUUCUUAUUGGUUAAUCUGGUUUGUUCCUGGUAUAUCUUAAUUUCUUGAUAAGGUGGGAGUGAAAAGA